UAAUAUGUAAAAUAAAAAAUAUGAAUUUUAAUGAUAUAUUUUAAAAGAUAGAAUGAAGAAUUCAUUGAAAGUGCUAAAAAAUAAGUGUAAAGCAAGCAAAUGACGGGUUGGAUUUUACCUUUCCUCACUUUAGCUGCUUGCCCGCUCACCCACACUUCAUUGUAAAAGAAAAAUAACCCUAUAUUGUCAUUCUUUUCCCAUCUUCGUUCAGCCUCCCAUUACUUCUCUGCAUUCCUCUUCCCUCAUGCCUCCCCCUUCCAUCUCUUCUUCUCCUCCCUCCUACAUUUUCUUCUUCUUCUUCUUCGCUUUAUUUUCCAGACUACUUCUCAGCACAAAGGCAUAGGUCUCCGCACGAAGCCUUGAGGGUUUCAGCGUCAAGACAAUAGUUUCAAUUACAUUCUGUUCCAGCCGAAAUUUCAUGUUCCAGUGUAGUACCUGAUCAUUAGUACUUCCAUUGAAGUUGUAGAUCUUGACGCAGAUUUUGCAUAGGCAGUUUUUUAUGAGAAAGAAGAACCAACCCAGCCUGAGGAGUAAUUACAGAGGCCUGUCUACGAUUAGCAUUUUUGUAUUUUAAGAUGUUAUUAUUAGUUAGGCAACAGACCAUGUAUGGUUCUUUAUGUUUUGAUGUAAGUGAUGAGUGGAUGACAGUUUAUAAUAAUAUUAUUUGGGAAUAAGCUAUAAUGACAUAUAGAUUUUACUUUUAAUUGAGGUUUUUAAACUGUACGUAUCUCUGGUACAUUUAGCAUUAUUCUUUGACUAACACAUUUACAUAUUCCACUGUAAUUUAUUA